GCAGUGGAGGAGGAGGAUGAGGUAGCCAACACUGUUUUUUAUAUAUAUAUAUAUAUAUACAUAUAUAUAUAUAUUUUUUUUAUUGGGGUAGCCCACAAAAUAUUGGGACAUAUAAAAAAAGACAACUCUGUUCCGCAGAGUAGCUGUUGACAUUUUAGUUGCGCAGGCACUUUGUUGACUCUAGAGAACCUCCUGCCAAUCGCACAUCCCCGUGGCGGCGACUUUGCAUGUGGAUGUCAUCCAUAUCAACUUUCGAUGCCAGUUUCUGCGCCUACCAUGGUGACCAGAGGUAACGGGGAAUAAGAGUUCCAUUCUGUACAGGGACCCUGAGAAACGGCUACCACAUGCAAGGAAGGCAGC
rnacentral:rRNA from 1 species